ACCCCUAUUGCGAGUGUCGAACAAGAAUAGAUAAUCGACUACUGAGCGAUUAUCGAUUAUCGAACUAUUGCGAGUGUCGAAUGAACGCUCAGCAAGCGACUGUGAAUGCUUUUUAAUCGAUCAUCUUUCUACAGCCAUUUUCUAGUCGUUGGAGAGUAAAGUUGAUGAAAAAAGAACGAAAAUGGAUAAAAAAUCAAAAGUAGUUAGUAACAAAAAGCAACUAGCGCGAUUAGUGGAGUUGAU